rnacentral:rRNA from 1 species
CCUACGGGUGGCAGCAGUGGGGAAUAUUGCACAAUGGGGGGAACCCUGAUGCAUCGACGCCGCGUGAGUGAAGAAGUAUUUCGGUAUGUAAAGCUCUAUCAGCAGGGAAGAAAAUGACGGUACCUGACUAAGAAGCCCCGGCUAACUACGUGCCAGCAGCCGCGGUAAUACGUAGGGGGCAAGCGUUAUCCGGAUUUACUGGGGGUAAAGGGAGCGCAGACGGCUGUGCAAGUCUGGAGUGAAAGGCGGGGGUCCAACCCCGGGACGGCUGUGGAAACUGGAAAGCGGGAGUGCAGGAGAGGGGAGCGGAAUGCCAGGUGGAGCGGGGAAAUGCGUAGAUAUUGGGAGGAACACCAGUGGCGAAGGCGG